CCCCAUCCCUGGCAGUGUUCAAGGCCAGGUUGGACACAGGGGCUUGGAGCAAGCUGCUCUAGUGGAAGGUGUCCCUGCCCGUGGCAGGGGGUUGGAGCUGGAUGAGCUUUAGGGUCCCUUCCAACCCAAACCAGUCUGGGAUUCUAUGAUGAUUCUGCAAGUUAGAGCUAAGGCAGUGUUAACCUAAUGACUCUGCUUCUCCCUAUUCAGUUUAGGGAUUUUUUUCCCCUGUUCUUACACCUGUACCUUGGUCCCUCUAGGGUGAGCUGGCUGGGUCAGAAGCCCUUAUAUCACUAAAUUUCCUUCUUCCCCAUCACUGUCCUCAUCUAACCUGCUGCUGCACAGCCCCAUCUAUUGCUGGAUGGCCCAUCUAGGCUGAAGGUCAGAACAGUUGCAAGCCAGGAUGCCCCUGAGCCACAUUCUGAGGUCUCCAGGGUUGCGUUGGCCUCUCCUUUGGCCAAGGAAUCGGCUUCAGGAUGCACUGGAUGCCCUAGUUGAAGGAUGGGAGUACUCUAUCUGGAAGCUCUUCUGAUAGCUGAAGCUCCCAGCUACUACAGCUGUCAGCAAAGCAAGAGGUGCCUGAUGAUGCAGGAAAAAACAACCUGUCACCCUUCAGAGCAGGAAACCCAUUCCGUCAUCCCAAGCCACGACUCACGUGGGAAAGAGAACUUAAAGCACAGUUAUCACAAAGGAGCAGGUUAUUACAGUAAGGAUGAGGUAUGGUCUGUGUGAGU